rnacentral:tRNA from 1 species
GCUGGGCUGGGGCUCAGAGGCAGAGCGCUCGCCUGGCACGUGUGAGGCCCUGGGUUCGAUUCUCAGCUCCACA